GUGCUUGCUUCUGUAGCACAUGUACUAAAAUUGUAACAAUACAGAGAAGAUUAGCAUGGCCUCUGCACAAGGAUGACGCACAAAUCCAUGAAGUGUUUUAUGUUUUC